rnacentral:rRNA from 1 species
CCUGCGGAAGGAUCAUUACCGAGUGAGGGCCCUUUGGGUCCAACCUCCCACCCGUGUUUAUUUACCUCGUUGCUUCGGCGGGCCCGCCUUAACUGGCCGCCGGGGGGCUCACGCCCCCGGGCCCGCGCCCGCCGAAGACACCCCCGAACUCUGCCUGAAGAUUGUCGUCUGAGUGAAAAUAUAAAUUAUUUAAAACUUUCAACAACGGAUCUCUUGGUUCCGGCAUCGAUGAAGAACGCAGCGAAAUGCGAUACGUAAUGUGAAUUGCAAAUUCAGUGAAUCAUCGAGUCUUUGAACGCACAUUGCGCCCCCUGGUAUUCCGGGGGGCAUGCCUGUCCGAGCGUCAUUGCUGCCCUCAAGCCCGGCUUGUGUGUUGGGCCCCGUCCUCCGAUUCCGGGGGACGGGCCCGAAAGGCAGCGGCGGCACCGCGUCCGGUCCUCGAGCGUAUGGGGCUUUGUCACCCGCUCUGUAGGCCCGGCCGGCGCUUGCCGAUCAACCCAAAUUUUUAUCCAGGUUGACCUCGGAUCAGGUAGGGAUACCCGCUGAACUUA